ACAUUUGCUUUAGAAUAAUUGAUUUAUGAACCAUGCCUGCACUAAUAGUAACUACAAGGUAAAAAAGGCCACCUGUCAAAACUAUAGUACUAUAUUUCUAAUCUAGUGAUAAUAAUAAUAAUAAUAGAUUAUACAGAGUAUAUUAAAUCUGUUUAUAUAUCAUCUCUUUUACUUAAAGCAAGUUCCCUGUUGCUAGCAGCAAUGUUUUUCUCCACAACUUUAGUUUAGCUUCCUCAUUAGGGAUCUAUUUCCUGUUUACAUUUUUUAAGAGAUUACUAAAAGUUCUCUUAGUUUAGUGCAGUUUUUGGUUGUGUGCUCAGAUCUGUUUCCUCUUUGAGAUUGCACAACUGAGUUUUGACACUGACACUGGAUUAAGGAGUGUCUUGCAAAACAGGAAUUUCUUCUUGAACUUAUUUUUUGCAGUCUGUAGUUCCAUAACCUCGACCAACUAGGCUAAUUAUUACUACUGAUACUACUACUACUGAUUGCUACUGAUAUCCUUUCAUUUUGCGUGGAAUUUCUGAACAGCAACCAUAACAGACGGUGAAGCCUGGAACACACGCUGGUGUUUAUCGCUGGACUUGGAACCGUGUCAGCUGUCGCAGUAAUGUUGCAACAGAACUGCAAACCUGUACACAUGAAAAGUGAAGAAAACGAGGCUUUUUUACUAUGCUGUUUAGAACAAGAAAUCCGUGGCCUGCGCUUGUCUGAAAAUGUACACCAGCUUGGAAGGCAGCUGGUGGUCUAAAUCAGGAGAGCUGGACUUGGAACCCAGUCAGCAGUUUGUCCAGUGUGGUUAUAUAACACAGAGCUGCAAACCUGAACACACAAUGUGUCAUCUAGAUUUUACUCUAUAAAUUAAAUACUGUGGAUUACUAUGCUGUUUGGAUGAAGAAAACUGCAUGGGCUGUACUUGUCUGAAAAUGGACACCAGCUUGAUUAAAAAACCUUUUGAAUGGUGAGGACUGUGGAUUGCACUUCUCUAUACAUGGAGACCAGCAUGUCCUGGAGCCCCAAGAGCUGUUUACAUCUUGAAUGUCAAACGGAUUCAAGCUGGUUCAAAAACUCGAAAAGGGAAGAAAAGCUAUAUUUAUAUUUUGCUAUCCUUUUUGGAUGAGGACGGCUGCGUAGUGCACUCCUCUAAACACGGACACCUGUAUGGAACGAAAUAAACACUGCAGACACAAAACCACACGCAUUAAGAGACGAGAACCGACGACAAAACCGAAGCAAGUUGGAAGUUAAAUACACACCGGAAUUGAGUGAACUAACACGACACAGAGGACAGACUUAUUUGCUCAGAAAUACAGAAAAGGUAAUAUUGUUAAAUAUUAUUGCAAUUAAAAAUAAUGGUUUACUGUUUUAAUAUAAUAUAAAAUAUGUUUGGAUAUUUGCGAAAGCUGAAUUUUGAUCAGCAUUAUCUGAAAAUACAGAUAAUAUACAGAUAAUCAUUCUAAAAUGCCGAUUUAUCAUCAUUGUUUCAAGACGUUAUUUUUGUUAUUACUGUUUUAUUCAAUUUAUUCACAGUUUCAGAAAACCGCUUCAUCACCCCGCGCAUUUAAUACCGACUACAGAUAUUGUCUUAUUAUUAAUAUCGACAAUAAGAUAGUGCAUUGCAUUGUUGCUUUGAUCCAUAUGCACAAAACAAUUGUAACAAAAAAUCACAAUACUAAGGAGAAAAAACGCUAUUUUUUAAUUAUAGUUGAAACUGAAAUUAGCUCAUGUUAAAAAUCACGUUACGUUCAGCGGUAAUAAUAAAAAUAAUCUACUAUUACAAAACCCAUAACUUAACUUUAAGUUGUGUGUCUGUUGUGUGAUCUUUUUAAGGGAUGUCACGGUUAAGGCAUCUCCCCAAAGCCCUGCCUGCUCUUUUUCAACCAGGCAGGCUCAUAACAAAUAACUAAAUAAAUUAACAAAUCAAAACAAAAUAAAAAUCGAACAGCUUCCUAAAUUAUGUUAUAUCAAUUAAUUUAUUUCAUUAAUUAUUUAUUUAUUGGGCUGCAUUGAAAAUGCAUAUAAUAAAUAUUCUCAAACUGGAUAUUCCUUCUUGAAUGUUUCUAAGGCUCGCACAAACUGUAUUUUUUAAAAGAGAUUAAAUCUUAAAGAAAUAUGCCUAUUUAGCGAAAAGCUCAAGUGUUUUGAAAGUGUAAUCAUGCUGUGGUUAUUUUUUUAAUUUAAUUAUUUUUUUAAGCUGCUAUGACAACUGGAUCAUUCUAACACGUUCAUACAGGAGCCUAUUUCAUUUCUUUGAGUCCCAGGAAGGGCUGAGGAUAACGCCGAGGAUCCGCGGACACCAGGGCCGUGAAAGCGCUGCAGUUUAGCGUGCAGGCUUAUUUGUGUGCGGAAUUCAAUUGGUUAUGAUCCAUAAAUAAAGUAAAUAGCUAAACGGCCAUAUGUAUUUAAAAGAUUCCCAAAUGACACACGUUAUUGCAGUAGAAUCAGGGCCGCGGCAAUACUUUUUUGUCCUUUUGAAUGCACCGUGUGUUCAGCACGUGCGAUUAGCUGAAUAUUACUAGAUGAAAGAUCUCAUAAACCGUGAUCGGAAAUGCAAAUAUUUGUAGGCUAUUAGGCUAUGUACGGUGUUGAAAAAACAAUAAAAAAAAAUAAAACAUUUUAAACAAAGCUCGUGCAAACGAGUUCAUCGUAAUAAUUAUAUAUAUAUAUAUAUAUAUAUAUAUAUAUAUAUAUGUGUGUGUGUGUGUGUGUGUGUGUGUGUAUAAUGAACUCGAUUGCACGAGCUUUGUUUAAAAUGUUUGCAUUUGUGAGCAAAAUUUAAAGGUCAGUAAUACAUAUCUCUCCUGAUGUUUUUUUUUUUUUUUUAAUAGUCAUUUCAUUAUUCUAAUUAAAUGUAGUCUAUCGCCACCUCACCCGUGUAGCCUUAGGUUACUGGAAACUAAAAACUUUUCUUCCACGGAAUAAAAAAAAGAUAAAUACCAUUUCAAAUCCAAAGAAAAUGGCAUGGAGCCUGUUGUUUUCGUUUCGUAAUUAAACAAUUCCACUGACUUGUACAUGCAAUCACACACACAUGAACUUUAUCGUGGGCUUUGUUCUAUCAACUGAACAAUUUAAUAAAAUGUGCACGUUAUUCAUAUUUUUCUCCCGUACAGGCCAUGGGAGGCUAUGUGCCAAAGCGAUGCCUCCAAGGGGUCUACAAGUGGUCUUCUGACCGGUCAGUUGUUUUAGUAAGGUUAAGCGUAAGCUUAUUAAAAAAAAAAAAAAAAAAAAAAAAAACC